rnacentral:rRNA from 1 species
UAUCGAGUUUUGAACGGGUUGUAGCUGGCCUCAUACUGUGGCAUGUGCACGCCUGUCUUCAUCCACUCUUCAACCUCUGUGCACUUAUUGUAGGCUGGUGAAGGGUCGCAUAGUAAUGUGCGGCUUGAAGCCUGGUCUACGUUUUACUACAAACGCUUCAGUUAUAGAAUGUCUAUCUGCGUAUAACGCAUUUAAUAUACAACUUUCAGCAACGGAUCUCUUGGCUCUCGCAUCGAUGAAGAACGCAGCGAAAUGCGAUAAGUAAUGUGAAUUGCAGAAUUCAGUGAAUCAUCGAAUCUUUGAACGCACCUUGCGCUCCCUGGUAUUCCGGGGAGCAUGCCUGUUUGAGUGUCAUGGAAUUCUCAACUUCUAAUACUUUUUUGUAUCAGAAGCUUGGAUUUGGAGGCUCGUGCUGGCUCUCUCGUUAGAGUCGGCUCCUCUUAAAUGAAUUAGCGUGAAUCACUAUGGAUCGCUUCGGUGUGAUAAUUAUCUGCGCCGUAGUCGUGAAGUAUCAAUAAAAGUUCUCGCUUCUAAUCGUCCUUCACGGGACAAUUAACCCUGACUUUUUGACCUCAAAUCAGGUAGGACUACCCGCUGAACUUAAGCAUAUCAAUAAGCC